rnacentral:rRNA from 1 species
CACGUAGGGACCAAGCGUUGUUCGGAUUUACUGGGCGUAAAGGGCGCGUAGGCGGCGAUGUAAGUCACUUGUGAAAUCUCUGAGCUUAACUCAGAACGGCCAAGUGAUACUGCAUUGCUAGAGUGCAGAAAGGGCAAUCGGAAUUCUUGGUGUAGCGGUGAAAUGCGUAGAUAUCAAGAGGAACACCUGAGGCGAAGGCGGGUUGCUUGUCUGACACUGACGCUGAGGCGCGAAAGCCAGGGGAGCAAACGGG